AAUUUUUAAUCUAUUAAAAAUGGGUUUUGUAUGCUCCUUUUCAAAGUGUUUAUGCGUUAUAUAUUUUCAAAUAUAGUUCAGAAGGUAUCGAGUGCCGAAUUCUGCAGAUUGCACCAGUCAUAGAUCGCAGUUUUUUACGGAUGUAGUGCAUGUGGGCAAUCCAGUUUAGCUUACUAUCUAUAACAACACCUAAGAAUUUGGUAUCCUUGACUUUAGUAAUAACCUUACCAUUGAUGAAUAUUGAUCUAGAUUCAUCUAGCAGGAUAGCAAAUGGUCUGGUCCGUGCACAGGUGUCAUCAUAUUCAGA